rnacentral:rRNA from 1 species
CCUACGGGUGGCAGCAGUGGGGAAUAUUGCACAAUGGGGGAAACCCUGAUGCAGCGACGCCGCGUGAAUGAAGAAGUACUUCGGUACGUAAACUUCUAUCAGCAGGGAAGAAAAUGCCUGUACCUAACUGUGCAGCUCUGGCGAACUACGUGCCAGCAGCCGCGGUAAUACGUCGGGGGCAAGCGUUAGUCGGAUUUAAUGGGUGUAAAGGGAACGGAGGCGGUUUUGCAAGUCAGAAGUGAAAGCCCUGGGCGUAACUCUAGGACAGCUUUUGAAACUGUUGAACUAGAGUGCAGGAGAGGUAAGUGGAAUUCCUAGUGUAGCGGUGAAAUGCGUAGAUAUUAGGAGGAACACCAGUGGCGAAGGCGGCUUACUGGACUGUAAAUGACGCUGAGGCUCGAAAGCGUGGGGAGCAAACAGGAUUAGAUACCCCUGUAGUC